CGGGGUGUAGCUCAGUGGCAGAGUGCCUGCCUAGCAUGCAUGAGGUCCUGGGUUCAAUUUCUAGUCCUGCAA
rnacentral:tRNA from 1 species